rnacentral:snRNA from 1 species
GGAUGUGAGAGUGAUCUAGCUGUGACAUCUGUCACCCCAUUGAUAGCCAGGGUUGAUUCGGCUGAUCUGGCUGGCUAGGCGGGUGUCCCCUCCUCCCUCACCACUCCAUGUGUGUCCCUCCUGAAGCUGCGCCCUGGGUAGAAGAGGAUGGCCUUCCCAGAAUGGAGAUGGACAGGUCUUCAGUCUAGGGUAUAGGAGUAGCUGCCUCCCCCUACUAGAACCUCCAAACAAGCUCUCAAAGAGAGAGAAAACCUGUCAGUGAGACUAUGGCAUAGCAUCUUAAUGACAGCACCCUCCACCAAUGUGUGAAAUGUUCGCAUGGGU